UUGCAAUCAAUCUAGCAUCAAAUAAAAUUAAGCCAUAAUCUUUGAAUUGAAAAAUAAAAAAUAAAAAAAUCAUGUUUAUCAACUUGACAAAAGUAAAGAGAAAAAGAGAGAAGUUAGAGCCAAUUGUGUGGAUCUAUUGACAUUGUCAUAUUAUUCUUCCUUGAUCCUUCUCUUAUGCCUCUGAUGGAAAAUAUUCUUCAGAUGUCGAUUUGACAAUUCUUAAGUCUUCUUGUUUUUGCUCUCUCAAAUAUGUGUAUUUUCUCUUUAAUGAAGAAGAAAAGAAAUUAUGGAAAGUGGGUCUAUAUGGUGUGAAUAAGGUGGGAAAAGAUGGACAGAAUAAUGGAAAGGGUUUAGGGUUUCAAAGCAUGACUUCUUCUCAAGAG
rnacentral:lncRNA from 1 species